GGAUUAGGCAUGCAAGUCGAACGAGACCGAUCCCUUCGGGGUGAACGUCUAGUGGCGAACGGGUGAGUAAUACAUGGACGACCUGCCUCCGAGUUGGGGACAACAGCUGGAAACGGCUGCUAAUACCCAAUCGUCCAGAGAUGGUAAAGGUGGGGACCUUCGGGCCUGCCACUUGGAGAGGGGUCCAUGUCCUAUCAGCUUGUUGGUGAGGUAACGGCUCACCAAGGCGAAGACGGGUAGCCGGACCGAGAGGUUGGCCGGUCACACUGGGACUGAGACACUGCCCAGACUCCUACGGGAGGCUGCAGUCGAGAAUCUUCCGCAAUGGGCGAAAGCCUGACGGAGCGACGCCGCGUGGAGGAUGAAGGCCUUCGGGUUGUAAACUCCUGUCACAUGUUAGGAAAUAGCCUGGGCAAAUACCCCAGGUGUUGACAAAAGCGUGAAAGGAAGUCACGGCUAACUUCGUGCCAGCAGCCGCGGUAAGACGAAGGUGGCAAGCGUUGCUCGGAAUCACUGGGCAUAAAGAGCACGUAGGUGGCUUGGUAGGCGAAGAAUGAAAUCCCAUGGCUCACCCAUGGAACGGUUCUUCGAACUGCCUAGCUUGAGGGCGGGAGGGGGAAGUGGAAUUCCUGGUGUAGCGGUGAAAUGCGUAGAUAUCAGGAGGAACACCGGUGGCGAAAGCGACUUCCUGGCCCGUCCCUGACACUGAGGUGCGAAAGCUAGGGGAGCAAACAGGAUUAGAUACCCUGGUAGUCCUAGCUGUAAACGAUGGGCACUAAGUAGAGGGGUUUU
rnacentral:rRNA from 1 species